UAUUGCUUACCAUUGAAUGUUGUGCGUUUCACUUGGGAUUAAAAAACAAAUAUUUGCUGCUGUUUUUUGAAUUCUUUCAAAGAAGUGGAAAUGUUUCCAUACUACUUGUUUGUGUCACAUUGUAAUGUUUGAAUUUGUAUGUGUAUGGCGAGAUACUAAUUUGAAAGUGAUAUAAAAGGCAUGAAGUUGAAGUAUCUACUGUUUUAAUCCAGUAUUAUUUGAGAACACAAAAUAAGACCGUCCAGCUAAGCAUGUGAAGUUCAAACUGACUAGGUUAGGUGUUGGAGUGAUGGCUUAUUCUACUUAGUUGUUGGGGGGAAUGAGUUUUUCAUUGGGUCAACAUAUAACAAAAGACUAUCUGUGCUGUGGAAGAUAAAUCAUCCUUUCUGCAGUUGCAUAACUGAGUUAUGGUUUCUCUUAGACUUGCUUCAAUGACAGCAAAAAUGAUUUCAUUUUUUAGUUCUUUUGCAACGAGCAUUUUUUACAUAUAUUUGCACUCUUCUAUAGCAAUAGCACUAGCAGCUGGAUUACAGGCUACCUUGUUAUUCCUUUUUCAUUUCAUCAAACCUUUUCCUCUCUUAAAGCGAUUUCUUCUAUUGAAAUGUUGGUCAACUUUUUGAUAUAUUC